GAAGCGGGCCAGACGAUCGCGCGCGGCUGAGCGAGAUCUCACCGCGUGAGGAAAGUCCGGGCUCCACAGGGUAGGAUGCUGGCUAACGGCCAGGCGGGGCGACCCGACGGAAAGUGCCGCAGAAAAGAAGACUCCCACCGACCGGCCCUUUGGCCGCGCCAAGGGAAAAGCUGAAACGGUGGUGCAAGAGACCACCAGCAUCGCGGCGACGCGAUGGCUUGGCAAACCCCAUCCGGAGCAAGCGCAAAUAGGGGCGCUAUGGUGUGACCCGCACCGCGCUCGGGUAGCGUGCACAGAGCUGCGUGGCAACGCGCACGCCAAGAUAAAUGAUCGUCCGCGACAGAACCCGGCUUAUCGGCCCACUUCGCAU
rfam:Coriobacterium glomerans PW2, complete genome.